AUGAACGCUGGCGGCGUGCCUAAUACAUGCACGUCGCGCGCACAGACGAGGAGCUUGCUCCUCUGACGUUAGCGGCGGACGGGUGAGUAACACGUGGAUAACCUACCUAUAAGACUGGGAUAACUUCGGGAAACCGGAGCUAAUACCGGAUAAUAUAUUGAACCGCAUGGUUCAAUAGUGAAAGACGGUUUUGCUGUCACUUAUAGAUGGAUCCGCGCCGCAUUAGCUAGUUGGUAAGGUAACGGCUUACCAAGGCGACGAUGCGUAGCCGACCUGAGAGGGUGAUCGGCCACACUGGAACUGAGACACGGUCCAGACUCCUACGGGAGGCAGCAGUAGGGAAUCUUCCGCAAUGGGCGAAAGCCUGACGGAGCAACGCCGCGUGAGUGAUGAAGGUCUUCGGAUCGUAAAACUCUGUUAUUAGGGAAGAACAAAUGUGUAAGUAACUAUGCACGUCUUGACGGUACCUAAUCAGAAAGCCACGGCUAACUACGUG
rnacentral:rRNA from 1 species